UGAAACACCUUCGCUCUUCACAAGAACCAA
rnacentral:sRNA from 1 species